rnacentral:hammerhead_ribozyme from 1 species
AUCCAGGUGACAAGUUCCAAAUAGGACGAAACGUGCGUCCUGGAU